rnacentral:rRNA from 1 species
UACGGAGGGGGCAAGCGUUAUCCGGAUUCACUGGGCUUAAAGGGUGUGUAGGCGGGCUGGCAAGUCAGUGGUGAAAUCCCCGAGCUUAACUUGGGAACUGCCAUUGACACUAUCAGUCUUGAAUAUUGUGGAGGUUAGCGGAAUAUGUCAUGUAGCGGUGAAAUGCUUAGAUAUGACAUAGAACACCAAUUGCGAAGGCAGCUGGCUGCACAAAUAUUGACACUGAGGCACGAAAGCGUGGGGAGCAAACAGG